rnacentral:tRNA from 14 species
GGCAACGUGGCGGAGUGGUUAUCGCGACAGCCUCGAAAGCUGUUUCCUUCGGGAGCGCAGGUUCGAAUCCUGCCGUUGUCG